CACUGGAUAGAUGAGGUAAGAAGGUUUACACGUCUGCAACCCUGGCAAUCAGGUCUUUAAACUGUCAAUUUCAUAUGCUUAAAUAUCAACAGCAUGUCAUGGGCUUACUGAAACAGAAAAUGAUGUUGAUUUCUGACUGUGUGGAAAAUAGAGUUACAGGAUUUAUUGCAUUCAGCUGAACAAGUUGGAAAGCAUACUUUGCAAUGUGUUUUUGAUUCCUUGGAGUCCUCUUACAGGGCUGCCGUAACUGGAUCUGUGAUCAGGCAUGCUUGGCUCAAGGAGCAAAAUCUGCCUGAUCAUGUUUAAGCAAAAUUGUCGGAU